GAGUGGCGAACGGGUGAGUAAUAUAUCGGAACGUGCCCAGUCGUGGGGGAUAACGUAGAGAAAUUUACGCUAAUACCGCAUACGAUCUAAGGAUGAAAGCGGGGGCUUCGCAAGAACCUCGCGCGAUUGGAGCGGCUGAUAUCAGAUUAGGUUGUUGGUGAGGUAAAAGCUCACCAAGCCGACGAUCUGUAGCUGGUUUGAGAGAACGACCAGCCACACUGGGACUGAGACACGGCCCAGACUCCUACGGGAGGCAGCAGUGGGGAAUUUUGGACAAUGGGCGAAAGCCUGAUCCAGCAAUGUCGCGUGUGGGGAGAAGGCCUUCGGGUUGUAAACCACUUUUGUACGGAACGAAACGUCUCGCUUUAAUACAGUGGGGUAAUGACGGUACCGUAAGAAUAAGCACCGGCUAACUACGUGCCAGCAGCCGCGGUAAUACGUAGGGUGCGAGCGUUAAUCGGAAUUACUGGGCGUAAAGCGUGCGCAGGCG
rnacentral:rRNA from 1 species